UUGGAGAGCCAAAUGAGUAUUCGGGAAACGUUGCUCUUAUAGGGUUUGCUAUCAGAGUUAGUAUGGCCUCCAUCACGUGGCUUCGCAAACUUCCAUCGGUGGGCGACAUCUCCCUGUCAACGACUGGCUACCGGCAGCCCUUCUCCUCCGGCGGACGAAACGAACAUGGAGAAAUCUCGGGACAUGGAAAACUUGAUAGAUUAGAAAUCAUGCUGUUUGUGCAGGAUGGAGAAGCUGCUUUUUGAGGCACCACCAGGAUACUAUUCAUUAUGUUAUAUAACCACAUCAAUCCAAUGGAAGUUUAUUAGACAAUGAGAAGUUCUGAAACUAUUAAGUAGGUAUGUGAUGCAAAUAAUUCAUUCUGUAAUCUGUAGCAAGUGCUAUGGGGUAAGUGGUGAGAGUAUCAAGGUUGCAGGAAAAGAGAUUUUUAUGUCUGAUUUAGAGAGGAGGUUGACUUAUGCUGAAACAGAUGCUGAACUGAAGGGUUAAGGACCUUUUGAUUUUAUGUUUCUACAAAUUUUCUUUUCUCUACCAUGAAAAUUUCCUUUAUUCAUGAAUGUGUUCUCCGGUGGAUCCAAUGUGAUAAGUGCAAAGCUGGGCAACAUCAGAUCUGUGCUAUUUUUAACGGAAGGCAUUGCAAGCCGAAUAAGUUUGCCCAAAUUGCUACCUGGAGGAAUUAGAAAGUGGACACAACAUGAACCACUAACCACAGAGUGUAGCUAUUGGAGCACGUGGCUCAUCAGGAACUUUGUUGAGUUACCAUAUUGAGCAAUGAUAACUUGGGCAUCUCAAACAAGAGAGAGAGAAGAAAGGGCAAGAAUAUUGGAAACUAGUGUUGAUGAGGUCAUUAUUUCAGAAGUCUUGUAUGUUCUUUGAUGAUGAUGGGCAUUUUGAUGUUUCUUCAAAGGAAAUUUUGGUUUGCCGGUCGUCAAAAGAAUCCUGCAAUCGCAUAGGCACUUCUAGACGUGUGGCAUGUCUACAUAGAUAUGACCGUUAAGAAAAGUGGUAAAUUGUUCCUCAUGCUAUGAUAGAGGACGUCAUCUAAUCGUUGGUCAUCGAGGAUGAGAGACAGCAGGGACAUCUGGGAAACCUUUGAGCACCUCACCUAACCGCACAAGUCGUCAAAUUCAAUCGGAAAUUUAGCUACGGGGAUAUUUUCCUUACUGCAACAAUGAAAAAUUGUACUAGCUUUUUGGAUUAUUUAUUGGACAAAUUUUUGAAAAAAAAUCAUAACUUUG